rnacentral:rRNA from 1 species
ACGAACGCUGGCGGCAUGCCUAACACAUGCAAGUCGAACGGGCAGUAGCAAUACUGUCAGUGGCGGACGGGUGAGUAACGCGUGGGAACCUACCCCGAAGUUCGGAAUAACCGCGGGAAACUGCGGCUAAUACCGGAUGUGGCCUGAGGGCCAAAGGAGCAAUCCGCUUUGGGAGGGGCCCGCGUCCGAUUAGCUAGUUGGUAGGGUAACGGCCUACCAAGGCGACGAUCGGUAGCUGGUCUGAGAGGAUGAUCAGCCACACUGGAACUGAGAUACGGUCCAGACUCCUACGGGAGGCAGCAGUGGGGAAUAUUGGACAAUGGGGGAAACCCUGAUCCAGCAAUGCCGCGUGGGUGAUGAAGGCCUUCGGGUUGUAAAGCCCUUUUGGCGGGGACGAUGAUGACGGUACCCGCAGAAUAAGCCCCGGCUAACUUCGU